GGUACAUUGGCAGAGUGGUCUAAUGCGAUAGACUUGAACCGUCUAGUUCAUGCAAUCUAUUCUCUUCGGAGGCGCCUGUUCGAACCGGGCAUGUACCG
rnacentral:tRNA from 1 species